UCUCGACGGCGGGAGGGAUUCGGGAGCGCGGGGACAGCCCCGGGCCCUGGCGCUUUCUGCCGGGGUGCUUCACUUUCCAGUGGGGGUGGGAGCCGGUUCCACCCCGCGUUCCGCCCCGGAGCUGCGCGCGCGCGUGGGGCCCCCUCCGCAAUGGGGGCUGCCCCCGCCUCCCACAGCCCCACUACGCCGCCCGCCCCUUGGGAGAAACUGACGCCCUUCCGUCACCCGGAGGCAGAGGCCACCCGGGCUCGCGGUCUGCAAACACCGCCCCCGCCUGGCCCCCGCCCCCCCACGGGUAGCCCGGGGCCGUCCUCGGGAUCGGACCGCGCCUCGCCAAGGGUGCAUCAGUGUGGGGCUCCGAGUCCGCUGGCCCGAGCGGCGGGGGCAGGGGUAACGCGGCAGCUGGGAGCGCCGCUCAGGCCCGGACGCGCGGAGGGCCGAGGGCGGGGGGCCGGCUUCGCCAUGCUCCAAUUGAACCCUGGAAAAACCCCGGCGCGUAGGGGAGGCGGGCCCCUCGCAGGCACCGACGGGGACGGCGGGAACAAAGGCGGCCUGCGGCCGCGUCAGUCAUGGAAAAACCCAUCCGGCCGCCGGGGCGGGGGUGGCGCGGAGAGCGCAGGGGAGGGGCCGGGCAGCCGGGCCACCCUCGCCACCCUCGCCGGCCCGCCCGGGAGGGGCUGCUUUUGCUUCCCCUUCCCUGGAACGCGCCUCGCGGAGAGAGGGAGGAGGCCCCAGGAAAGCAGAAAAUGCCCGGCGGGGAGGGGCGGCUCGGCCCCGGGACCGAGAACCAGAAGUCCCUACUCUCCGAUGCCGCGCGCCCGCCCGGCAGCGGUGCACAGCCGGACUCUCGGCAGCGAGUGGCGGGCAGUCCGGGCAGGUACACGCCGGGCACACGCGGCGCUGCACAUGGCCACCUGGCGGGGUGAACGCAGCUGCGACAGCCAGCCGCGGCCUUGGGCCCAUAGGGGGCGCGCAUAGACGCGCGCGCUGGCAAGUUCGGCCGCGCGCAAGCUUCUGCAUAUACUUGCUCACUUACACGCACGUGCGCCCAGACACACUAGCUGCCCCAAACUGCCAGGGCUGAGAGGAGAGGGUCCGACCGCGGGGUUCCGGGGCUUAGACACGCAAUCUCAGAAGCCGGGGACAGGGAUCUUGGAAGCAGCCCUGGUUAGGCCGGAAGCAUUUCACAGAAAAGGCAAGUGUUGGCACAGUUGGACCCAGUGACUCCUGAGGCCUUUUCCAGUUCUGACAUUUCAUGAAGAAGGAACUGGGUCCAGAAGCCAUAAAAGGAGUUGGUGGAAGCAGAAAAAACUCUGGCACCUGGCGUGGCCCCAGCCGCAGUCUGUUCUGGUUCAAAUGGCCCCCGCAUUUAUUUGUGUUGUGCUGCUUGCCAUGGGGUGUGUGUGGGGGGGCAAAGCCUGUGCCAGCUGGGGCCCUGGGUG